UGGGUUAUAGUUCAGUGGUAGAGUGCUUGCUUACCAUUUACUUGUACUAAUAGGUUCAAAUCCUAUUAGUACAA
rnacentral:tRNA from 1 species